UGAGGAAUAUUGGUCAAUGGGCGGCAGCCUGAACCAGCCAUCCCGCGUGAAGGAAGAAUGCGCUAUGCGUUGUAAACUUCUUUUUCAGGGGGAUAAAAUUCUGUAUGUAUACAGGACUGAAGGUACCCUGAGAAUAAGCAUCGGCUAACUCCGUGCCAGCAGCCGCGGUAAUACGGAGGAUGCGAGCGUUAUCCGGAUGUAUUGGGUUUAAAGGGUGCGUAGGCGGAAUAAUAAGUCAGUGGUGAAACCCUGCAGCUUAACUGGAGACUUGCCAUUGAUACUGUUUUUCUUGAGUAUGGUUAAGGCAGGCGGAAUGUGUAAUGGAGCGGUGAAAUGCUUAGAUAUUACACAGAAUACCGAUAGCGAAGGCAGCUUGCUGGGCCGUUACUGACGCUGAUGCACGAAAGCGUGGGGAUCGAACA
rnacentral:rRNA from 1 species